UACGUAGGGUGCGAGCGUUGUCCGGAAUUAUUGGGCGUAAAGAGCUUGUAGGCGGUUUGUCGCGUCUGCUGUGAAAAUCCGGGGCUCAACCCCGGACUUGUAGUGGGUACGGGCAGACUAGAGUGUGGUAGGGGAGACUGGAAUUCCCGGUGUAGCGGUGGAAUGCGCAGAUAUCAGGAGGAACACCGAUGGCGAAGGCAGGUCUCUGGGCCACUACUGACGCUGAGAAGCGAAAGCAUGGGGAGCGAACAGG
rnacentral:rRNA from 1 species